UCACAGAGAGUAGAGAUAAAAAUAGUAACCACACGAGCAGGCCCUGGUCCAACCGCGCAUGCUCAGGACAGGGGCCUGCGUGGUUAAAGAGACCUCUGGCGUCUGCUCAGUGCUUGGUGUAAAUUGGCCCCCGAGACUCCGGAGUGCGCCUGCGCUUGCUGGCAGUGGGCCUGGAGUGACAUGUGGGGGCGGGGCUGUAGUCGGCGUCUCUCCCGCGCUUUUUCCAGAAAAGGUGCGCGUUUUGACGUUUCGGAGCGCACCUACGCGGGUAGGCUGUUGAGGACCCUAUGUAUGGCCCUAGGAGAACUGCAGACACCCGCCCUGGGACUCCUCCCUACGUCGACAAAAAUAUAACCGGAGUGGGACGGUAAACAGCUGCACCUCGGCAAAGAGGAACUGCUGCAUGGCUUACUAUGGUGAUAUAGACAGAUUCUUACUCCUGUGGGCAGCAAGGCCCUUCACAGGCCCAGCUGGCAUAGAUACAACCAGGGUACGGCUAUUGAAGAACUUUCAACUGCUCUUGGUGAUGCCAAGGAUACAUUUUGCUAAAAUAGUAAUUAUGCUUCUGGACCCUUGCCUGGUAAAAUGGAAAACAUAUAAAACAUGUGGUAAGUUUAUUAAAUUAAUAUCCAGCCUUUUCCUUGGUUUUUCCUUUUGUAUCUACAGAAUAGGGUAGUGAAUAAAGGUAUUGGAUAAAAUGCUGACAUUCUGUUUGUCCAUAAUCUUACCUGCUUUUUCCUGGCUCCCUUCAGGUAAUACAUCUGCAUCUUCAUGGU